AUGGUGAUUGAGGGAGGAAUGAGAGAAUUGAGAGGAGUUGUUGAUGAAGCACAAAGAGAAUAUUGCAGAAUGAAUGAGCUUGUUUUUGGCAGUGGAGGAUUUGAGCAUUAUGCCGAACAACAACUUGCUGCUCAUCAGCGCACUCUUCAAACAAUACAGAAGUGUCACAUCGACAGCAUAUUUACUGAGAGUAAAUUUCUGCAAGCUAAAUCUCUCGAACAACUUGCAAAAGCGCUCAUUUGGGCCGCAUGA